rnacentral:rRNA from 1 species
CCUANGGGCGGCAGCAGUGAGGAAUAUUGGACAAUGGGCGCAAGCCUGAUCCAGCCAUGCCGCGUGCAGGAUGAAGCAUCUAUGGUGUGUAAACUGCUUUUGUACGAGAAGAAACACUCCUACGUGUAGAGUCUUGACGGUACUGUGAGAAUAAGGAUCGGCUAACUCCGUGCCAGCAGCCGCGGUAAUACGGAGGAUCCAAGCGUUAUCCGGAAUCAUUGGGUUUAAAGGGUCCGUAGGCGGUCUUAUAAGUCAGUGGUGAAAUCUCCCCGCUCAACGGGGAAACGGCCAUUGAUACUGUAAGACUUGAAUUAUUAGGAAGUAACUAGAAUAUGUAGUGUAGCGGUGAAAUGCUUAGAGAUUACAUGGAAUACCAAUUGCGAAGGCAGGUUACUACUAAUGGAUUGACGCUGAUGGACGAAAGCGUGGGUAGCGAACAGGAUUAGAUACCCUUNUANUC